rnacentral:lncRNA from 1 species
GUGGGGACUACAGUCCAAGAAAUGUUCGCCCGUUUUCCCACUACACUGGGAAAACAGUCGUAAUUCCCUACGCACUCUUCAUGCCGCCAUUUUAUCAGCAAGGCCUUCCACGCUCAUUGAACUAUGGGGGCAUAGGUGGUACCAUUGCUCACGAGCUGGCGGCUCAAUUUGUCGCAGGU